GCCUAGUUUAAGAAGUCCAUUGUCGGUGGAAGGCUGGUUAAACCGUUUGGUUUUCGACCACUACGACCCGGGUUCGAUUCCCGCAUUGGGCA